rnacentral:rRNA from 1 species
GCAAGUCGAACGAGAACGGCUCUAGCUUGCUAGAGUGUCAGCUAAGUGGCGGACGGGUGAGUAAUGUAUAGUUAUUCUGCCCUUCAGAGGGGGAUAACAGUUAGAUAUGACUGCUAAUACCCAUACUCCUAUUGCUGUAAAGGUAAUAGGGAAAUGUCUUUUCGCUGAAGGAUGAGACUAUAUGGUAUCAGGUAGUUGGUAGGGUAAGAGCCUACCAAGACAAUGACGCCUAGCUGGUCUGAGAGGAUGAUC